rnacentral:rRNA from 1 species
AUUGCACAAUGGCCGAAAGCCUGAUGCAGCAACGCCGCGUGAGGGAUGACGGCCUUCGGGUUGUAAACCCCCCUUAGCAGGGACGAAGCGAAAGUGACGGUACCUGCAGAAAGAGCGCCGGCUAACUACGUGCCAGCAGCCGCGGUAAUACGUAGGGCGUAAGCGUUAUCCGGAAUUAUUGGGCGUAAAGACCUCGUAGGCGGUUUGCCACGGCUGCUGUGAAAUCCCGAGGCUCAACCUCGGGCCUGCAGUGGGUACGGGCAGACUAGAGUGCGGUAGGGGAGACUGGAAUUCCUGGUGUAGCGGUGAAAUGCGCAGAUAUCAGGAGGAACACCAAUGGCGAAGGCAGGUCUCUGGGCCGCUACUGACGCUGAGGAGCGAAAGCGUGGGGAGCAAACAG